CCUACGGGAGACAGCAGUGGGGAAUAUUGGGCAAUGGGCGCAAGCCUGACCCAGCAACGCCGCGUGAAGGAAGAAGGCUUUCGGGUUGUAAACUUCUUUUCUCAGGGACGAAGAAAGUGACGGUACCUCAGGAAUAAGCCACGGCUAACUACGUGCCAGCAGCCGCGGUAAUACGUAGGUGGCAAGCGUUAUCCGGAUUUAGUGGGUGUAAAGGGCGUGUAGGCGGGAAAGCAAGUCAGAUGUGAAAACUCAGGACUCAACCCUGAGCCUGCAUUUGAAACUGUUUUUCUUGAGUGCUGGAGGGGGGAUCGGAAUUCCGUGUGUAGCGGUGAAAUGCGUAGAUAUACGGAGGAACACCAGUGGCGAAGGCGGAUUGCUGGACAGUAACUGACGCUGAGGCGCGAAAGCGUGGGGAGCAAACAGGAUUAGAUACCCCAGUAGUC
rnacentral:rRNA from 1 species